rnacentral:tRNA from 1 species
GAGGGUAUUGCUUGGUGGUAGAAUACAUGCUUAGCAUGCAUGAGGCCCUGGGUUCAACCCCCAGUACUCCCA